rnacentral:tRNA from 2 species
GCCGACUUAGCUCAGUUGGUAGAGCAUCGGUAUCGUAAACCGGGGGUCGGCGGUUCGAACCCGCCAGUCGGCAGCA